UCUCUGUUAGUAUAUCGGUUAGUACACGCGCCUGUCACUGUGUUUCCGCCGGUCGCGCGAAAGCUGGGUUCGACUCCCAGACAGAGAG